AAGGAGUGCCUACAAAAUGGAACUGCAAGGAAGGCAAAGCUGGGAGGGGAUCUGUAGUAAAUGCCUAGCCUAGGUGCAUCCCUGGAGGUUUUCUGGCAGGAAUUUGAGCUUGCAGAGUCCUCAGUUCAAGUGUGCUUAUUGGGAGAUCCUGAUUGCAAGCCUCGGUUUUUAGAAGGUGGCAUGCUGUGGUCUGUGGUGGGGUAUGAAUUCUGCUGAAGUCCGUGCGCUUUGCAGCUGAGCUGCUUCUUCUCACACCAGGAAAAGAGGCCAUUUUGAUAACCAAUUUCUUUCUACAACUGCUGGAAAAGGUGUAAGUACAGGUCUAACUAUAAGGUAUUAGGUUUAGGCAGUUGGGAAGCUCU
rnacentral:lncRNA from 1 species